CUUCUCUUCCUUCUUUCGCAAAACAAACGGCAGCCUUUCGUUCGUUCCUUUCGUUCCUUUCCGCCGCCGUUCCUUUCGUUCGUUCCUUUCGUUCAUCUAUAUUGCUGCUUUAAUGGGUGCAAAACAAACGGCAGCCUUUCUGCCGUUCCUUUCGUUCAUCUUCUCACCCUAAAACGCCGCCGUCGAACUGUCAACCGCCGUCGUUCCUUUCCGCCGCCGUUCCUCAGCAAAGAUUAUCAAGGAUCGUGUAACAGGAAGGUCUCAAGGUUUUGGUUACAUAACUUUUGCAACGACCAAGGAGGCAUCUGCUGCCCUUCAGACCAUCAAUAUUUCCCGGCAGGCCUCUUGCUAAAUUCUAAAAUUCACCAAUUCACAUAUUGGGUUUAACUUCAGUCAUACAGUCUUUAAUAAACUUGUAUGCUUGCCUUGCAUUCUGACUGCGGCCAAUUAGUGUGACCAUGAUUGUGUAAUGUCUCACGCAAGGGACGAUUGCAAACUCAGUUUGCAUCUGAUCGAAAAGCUCGAAUCCUUCGAAGAAGCGUCCAGUAUUAGAGCAAGCACACAAUAGAGCAACAAAGGAGAAUGAAUCAGGGGAUACAUUUUCUGAUACAGAUUCAUCUGGACGCUUCUUCGAAGGAUUCGAGCUUUUCGAUCAGAUGCAAACUGAGUUUGCAAUCGUCCGUAGCGUAAGACAUUACACAAUAAUUGGCCGCAGUCAGAAUGCAAGGCAAGCAUACAAGUUUAUUAAUGACUGAAGUUAAACCCAAUAAAGUGACUUGGGGAGCAUUGCUUUCGUGUGUUAAUACGACUGAGGAGUUCGACAUUGCUGAACUAGCAAACAGAAAAUUACCUAAUGGUGAAGGGUUAAAGAGAUUGCGAAAUAUAUAUCGCUGGUUUAACCAUCAUGAGAAAGCCAUGGAAAUUUCAAAAAUUCUGGACAGACCAGACUUCACUAACCACACUGCUGGCACUAGUGAGUUACACAAUUUCAUGCAAGGGAGCACAUUGAGAAUGACUGUUAUUGUUUUUCUACUUUGUUACUAGUGGUUCGAUUACCAGCCACUAUAUUUUGUCAAUGACCCUAUUACGUGAUUGUGGUUUGAUAUGUAGCACAUUCACAUUGGUUUACGUGAUUGUGGUUAAUUUUGUAUAAAACAACCAUUCUACAUCUCAAGUACACCAAUUUUCAAGAAGCAUAUUCAUGUUUUCAGUCA